rnacentral:rRNA from 1 species
CAGCAGCCGCGGGAAUACAGAGGGUGCAAGCGUUAAUCGGAUUUACUGGGCGUAAAGAGCGCGUAGGUGGUUAUUUAAGUGAGAUGUGAAAGCCCCGGGCUUAACCUGGGAACUGCAUCUUAUACUGGGUAACUGGAGUGCAGUAGAGGGUAGUGGAAUUUCCGGUGUAGCGGUGAAAUGCGUAGAUAUCGGAAGGAACACCAGUGGCGAAGGCGGCUACCUGGACUGAGACUGACACUGAGGCGCGAGAGCGUGGGGAGCAAACAGGAUUAGAUACCCCGGUAGUCCCUGUCUCUUAUAC